CGGACUGGAGUCUGCAACCCGACUCCACGAAGUUGGAUUCGCUAGUAAUCGCGCAUCAGCCAUGGCGCGGUGAAUACGUUCCCGGGCCUUGUACACACCGCCCGUCAAGCCAUGGGAGCCGGGGGCGCCUGAAGUCCGGGACCGCGAGGACCGGCCUAGGGCGAAACUGGUAACUGGGGCUAAGUCGUAACAAGGUACC
rnacentral:rRNA from 1 species